rnacentral:rRNA from 1 species
CUUUGGGCUGCUAAAGCAGCAAAGAUGGGCUACCAAUGGAAAGUGGGGAAUGGGAGGAACAUUAAAUUCUGGGAAGAUCAAUGGUUUGGGUCCUGCAGCUUGGCCACUCAAUUUUGGGAUUUAUAUAUCAUUGCCAAUGAGCAUAAUAAAACUAUUGCUGAUGCCUGGGAUGGGAAUAGUCUAAAAAUUACUUUUAGAAGAUGUGUGGAUAGUAGACUACUACAUCUUUGGUUUGAUUUGUUGAUCAUUGCUCAAUCUGUUAUCUUGAAUGAUGAGGAAGAUGCUAUUAUUUGGAAAUUAGAGAGCAAGGGGAGUUACUCAGUUAAAUCCCUUUAUGCCAUGGUCAACUUUAAGGGGAUUAUCCCUGUACAUGUACCAAAUUUAUGGCAAGUGCAUGUUCCUCCUAAUGUUCAUAUAUUUCUUUGGCUGCUUGCUCAUGAUAAGUUACUGGUUAGGAGUAACCUCAGCAAGAGACAACACAUAGAUGAUCAUAACUGCUUGUUCUGCUGUGAGGAGGAGACUAGUAAUCACCUCUUCUUUGAAUGUGUUGUGGCUGCUAAGAUAUGGAAAAAUAUUCAUAAUGUGGCUGGAUGCAUGCCCCAGCCUGGGCUUAAAAACGCGGCUGAUAAGUGGGAUAAACACAAGUCACUACAAGCUGAAAAUAUGCUCGUCUCAGCUACUCUCUAG